rnacentral:rRNA from 1 species
UGCCAGACUCCUACGGGAGGCAGCAGUGAGGAAUAUUGGUCAAUGGGCGCAAGCCUGAACCAGCCAAGUCGCGUGAGGGAAGACGGCCCUACGGGUUGUAAACCUCUUUUGCCGGGGAGCAAGCCUGAGCACGUGUGCCCAGGCGGAGAGUACCCGGAGAAAAAGCAUCGGCUAACUCCGUGCCAGCAGCCGCGGUAAUACGGAGGAUGCGAGCGUUAUCCGGAUUUAUUGGGUUUAAAGGGAGCGUAGGUGGAUUGUUAAGUCAGUUGUGAAAGUUUGCGGCUCAACCGUAAAAUUGCAGUUGAAACUGGCAGUCUUGAGUACAGUAGAGGUGGGCGGAAUUCGUGGUGUAGCGGUGAAAUGCUUAGAUAUCACGAAGAACUCCGAUUGCGAAGGCAGUUCACUGGACUGCAACUGACACUGAGGCUCGAAAGUGUGGGUAUCAAACAGGAUUAGAUACCCUAGUA